rnacentral:rRNA from 1 species
AGCGUUGUUCGGAAUUACUGGGCGUAAAGGGCUCGUAGGCGGCCAACUAAGUCAUACGUGAAAUCCCUCGGCUUAACCGGGGAACUGCGUCUGAUACUGGAUGGCUUGAGAUUGGGAGAGGGAUGCGGAAUUCCUGGUGUAGCGGUGGAAUGCGCAGAUAUCAGGAGGAACACCGGUGGCGAAGGCGGGUCUCUGGGCAGUAACUGACGCUGAGGAGCGAAAGCGUGGGUAGCAAACAGG